UACGUAGGGCGCAAGCGUUGUCCGGAAUUAUUGGGCGUAAAGAGCUCGUAGGCGGCCAGUUGCGUCUGCUGUGAAAUCCCGGGGCUCAACCCCGGGCGUGCAGUGGAUACGGGGCUGGGCUAGAGGCAGGGCAGGGGAGAACGGAAUUCCCGGUGUAGCGGGUGAAAUGCGCAGAUAUCGGGAGGAACACCGGUGGCGAAGGCGGUUCUCUGGGCCUGU
rnacentral:rRNA from 1 species